AACGAACGCUGGCGGCAGGCUUAACACAUGCAAGUCGAGCGCCCCGCAAGGGGAGCGGCAGACGGGUGAGUAACGCGUGGGAAUUUACCUCCCGGUUCGGAAUAACGCAGAGAAAUUUGCGCUAAUACCGGAUACGGCCCGAGGGCGAAAGAUUUAUCGCCGAGAGAUGAGCCCGCGUCGGAUUAGCUAGUUGGUGUGGUAACGGCGCACCAAGGCGACGAUCCGUAGCUGGUCUGAGAGGAUGAUCAGCCACAUUGGGACUGAGACACGGCCCAAACUCCUAAGGGAGGCAGCAGUGAGGAAUAUUGGACAAUGGGCGCAAGCCUGAUCCAGCCAUGCCGCGUGAGUGAUGAAGGUCUUAGGGUUGUAAAGCUCUUUCACUCGGGACGAUAAUGACGGUACCGAGAGAAGAAGCCCCGGCUAACUUCGUGCCAGCAGCCGCCGUAA
rnacentral:rRNA from 1 species